CGGAGGGUGCGAGCGCUGUCCGGAAUCACUGGGCGUAAAGGGCGCGUAGGCGGCCUGGUAAGUAGGGGGUGAAAUCCUGCGGCUUAACCGCAGGGCUGCCUUCUAAACUGUCAGGCUCGAGCACGGUAGAGGCAGAUGGAAUUCCCGGUGUAGCGGUGGAAUGCGUAGAGAUCGGGAAGAACAUCAGUGGCGAAGGCGGUCUGCUGGGCCGUUGCUGACGCUGAGGCGCGACAGCGUGGGGAGCAAACAGGAUUAGAUACCCUGGUAGUCCACGCCGUAAACGAUGGGCACUAGGCGUCGGGGGGAGCGACCCUCCCGGUGCCGUCGCUAACGCAGUAAGUGCCCGCCUGGGGAGUACGGCCGCAAGGCUG
rnacentral:rRNA from 1 species